CCACCAUAGACUUGCUGCUGGACCAUGGCUGACUGACUUCCCCUGUCACAUGUUUAGGUUUCCCACCUUGUUUCAUGGGCUCAUGAUUCUAGUAUCUGCUUGCCCUUAGGUGUUUGUGAGGGUUAGAGGUGAGGGCUACACGAUGGGGGGUGACUUCUUCUAGGGCCUCAGUGGCAGGGCCCAGAAACACUGCCUGUGUGAGCCUGCUUGGUAACAUCUGUCCCCCCACCUCUGCCAGAAGAAGACACCUUUACUCAUUUGGCCCAUCUCCUUUACCAAUGCCACUCCUACUCCACCAGCCAGAGGAGAAAAGUUGAACUCUGAGGACCAGAAUGGCCUUUCCCUGGCCACGGAGUGCUCAGCCCCUGCAGGUAGGGGUGGGGAGCCCAAGCCUGAAGCUCCUGUCUAGGUCCUGCUCCUGCUCCUGGGCCCUUCAUCAUCAGCUGGGAGGCCUCCUGACAGUUCUGAGGUAUCUCAGGACUGCCAGCUUUGUGUUCCUGAGCAGAGACACCCAACACCUCAGCCUGGCUCCUUCCUGCAGGCCAACGUCCCACACCCUCUGGUACCUGGCAAAAGAGUCUUUCUGAUAGAAACAGGAGCAGCAUCUUGGGUUCAUGUCCUACUUCAUUAGUCCUUUAUUCUUCAAUCAAUAAACAUUUAAGGACCUCUGUCUCAGUCUGUUUGAAC
rnacentral:lncRNA from 1 species